GAGGUUGUAGCUUAGCUGGUAAAGCAUACUGCUCAUAACAGUAACAUCAAGUGUUCAAGUCACUUCAACCUUA
rnacentral:tRNA from 1 species